GUUUAAAGUGAUCAUUGGGCGAGCACCUUACCGGAGCGACCAGUCCGGAGCGACACCGUCAAGUCGCUCUGAUCUCCCUAUCAGAGCGACCUUACCAGAGCGACAGGGAAGAGUCGCUCGCGUUUUCAUCACUCGGAAACGCGAGAACGAUUCCGGAGCGACCUCUCGCAGCGACACAGCGAGGUCGCUCCCGAAGCAUGGAGCGACUACUCGGAGCGACGAGCGGAGGUCGCUCCGCAUCUUAUUUCUGCUCGAACUUAUGAUUUCUCAAGGGCCUUUUGGUCAUUUCAUGAUGCACGUUUUUAUUUUCUAAACCUAUGCUUUAAUACUCUGUAAGCCACCGGGAGGCAGAUCAUCUUUGUUCUUAAGAAAAACCACCAAAAAACCUUUGGAAAGUCAUCUCUUGAAUCAAUUGAUCAGUUUUUGUUAUU